rnacentral:rRNA from 1 species
GAUGAACGCUGGCGGCGUGCCUAAUACAUGCAAGUCGAGCGAACAGACGAGGAGCUUGCUCCUUUGACGUUAGCGGCGGACGGGUGAGUAACACGUAGGUAACCUACCUAUAAGACUGGGAUAACUUCGGGAAACCGGAGCUAAUACCGGAUAAUAUUUCGAACCGCAUGGUUCGAUAGUGAAAGAUGGCUUUGCUAUCACUUAUAGAUGGACCUGCGCCGUAUUAGCUAGUUGGUAAGGUAACGGCUUACCAAGGCAACGAUACGUAGCCGACCUGAGAGGGUGAUCGGCCACACUGGAACUGAGACACGGUCCAGACUCCUACGGGAGGCAGCAGUAGGGAAUCUUCCGCAAUGGGCGAAAGCCUGACGGAGCAACGCCGCGUGAGUGAUGAAGGUCUUCGGAUCGUAAAUCUCUGUUAUUAGGGAAGAACAAACGUGUAAGUAACUGUGCACGUCUUGACGGUACCUAAUCAGAAAGCCACGGCUAACUACGUG